GUGCUGUUUACUCAACUGAAUCUCUUCCAGGUCUGGCCAGUGUUUUUACGUUUCUCAGUCUAAUUACUUCUGUCUCUCCACCAGGCUGGACGGUACACUGGGGAAACCAGGAAUGUUUCUUCCAGGAAAAGGGGAAGAUAAAGAAUACCCAACGAUUGGAGCACGUCUGAUCAGGCUAGAAGAUAAGGUAGGCACACUCCUGGCGCUCAGUGUGUGUGUGUUUUGUCUGUAAGCAAGAGAGAUAAACUGAUUAGAUCACCCUCUGUGUUCAUAAGAAAAGUAUGCGUGUGUGUGUGACUACGUAAUUGUAUGUUCAACUGUGACUUGUGUCUGUGGUAUCAGAUGAACAAGUGUUGUGGAAUCUUUUGAUAUGACCAUGUUGUGGCUGGCUUCAGUCAAUCUGUGCUAAUAGAAAACAUACACCUGCAUUCUCGGCUAUCCAUCUUAUCAGC
rnacentral:lncRNA from 15 species